GACGAACGCUGGCGGCGUGCUUAACACAUGCAAGUCGAACGGAAAGGCCCUGCUUUUGUGGGGUGCUCGAGUGGCGAACGGGUGAGUAACACGUGAGUAACCUGCCCUUGACUUUGGGAUAACUUCAGGAAACUGGGGCUAUACCGGGUAAGAGCUUCUGCUUCCUGGUGGGGGUUGGGAAGGUUCGGCGGUUGGGGAUGGACUCGCGGCUUAUCAGCUUGUUGGUGGGGUAGUGGCUUACCAAGGCUUUGACGGGUAGCCGGCCUGAGAGGGUGACCGGCCACAUUGGGACUGAGAUACGGCCCAGACUCCUACGGGAGGCAGCAGUGGGGAAUAUUGCACAAUGGGCGGAAGCCUGAUGCAGCAACGCCGCGUGCGGGAUGACGGCCUUCGGGUUGUAAACCGCUUUCGCCUGUGACGAAGCGUGAGUGACGGUAAUGGGUAAAGAAGCACCGGCUAACUACGUG
rnacentral:rRNA from 1 species